CGAGAAUCAUGAAAAAUCCGACUAAAUAACACGCCUCGAUUUUUAAGAAUUAGAAUUAGCUAAAUGAGGGCCGUGGGUUAAUGGGUUUUGUUUGACAUUUCAUGCCUCAAUUUAUUUUAAAAGAUUAUACUCAACUAAAAAAACUACGAAUAUCCAUAUUACUUCCUAAAAUUAAUUUAAGAUUAUAAAAAAUCAUGUUUGGAAAAUGGAAUAAAUUUGUAGCCUUAUUGCCAUGGGGACCAAGUAAUAUCUAAUAGUGCAUUAAUUUUGCCCAAAUUAAAUACCUUUUCCAACCAAAUUAACAUAUGCACUCAAUUAAACUCUUCUGCCCAAACAUUGCCAUGCCUUCUCCAAACCCCUCUUCAAAUAAGACCAAAUAAGAGCAGAAAAAAGAUCUCUCAAACUGAGAAGUGCAGUAGCCAAACAGAAGCACUAGAAAUCAGCUUAUAUCCUCAAACCACGGCAACUUAUGAUCCCAGAAAAAAAAACAUUAAACUCAGAAGCAGAAAAUCCAAAACCACGGCUUCAAAGACCCGUUUCUCUUCUCGUUUCUAGAAACAAAAACUUUAAAGGAUAAAGAAGAAAGUCCAUCUCUUGAAAAUUUCUUUUUAGAAUGUUCUCUCUCACACCUUCUUUUUUAUUUCAGAUUUGGAGUUCGACCAGGUCCUCAAAUCGCUGGAUUUAGUGUAAGUUUCGGCCAGAUCCGGGAUUAGUCACAAAUAGGAAAAGGCAAGUAAGAGGAGAUAGAAAGAAGGGAAGAUUUUCUUCUUCUUCUUAGAGCGAAGAGUCCCGUUUUUUGUUAGAGUCAGCCAAAUUGGAUGGCUGUUAGGGUUCAUCUUUGGGGAGGAAGUCCGAUUGUUUUUCAGCUCUUGGUGAUGGGGAACUUGGAGAAGCGGCUAUGUUUAAGAAAAUGGGGAUGGGAGUCUCAUUUUCUACUGUGGAUUGGAGAAAGACGAAGAAGAAGAAGAACCCAGCUAAGGGUGGCACCGUUUUUUUGCUCUUGUAUCAAGGUCUAAGGAUAUUAUCUUGUCCUUGUUAUGUCGCCUUAUCCUAACAAUAUAUAGGUCUACGUUUUAAUUGGAACGAUAUGGGUUUUGGGCUAAUGAUUUCAAGUGUAUUUGUGCUAGGUAAGAAAAUUUGGGUACAAGAAAUAGCUCACUAUCC
rnacentral:lncRNA from 1 species